CAACUCGCCUGCAUGAAGCUGGAAUUGCUAGUAAUCGCGGAUCAGCAAGCCGCGGUGAAUACGUUCCCGGGCCUUGUACACACCGCCCGUCACACCAUGAGAGUCGGGAACACCCGAAGUCCGUAGUCUAACCGCAAGGGGGGCGCGGCCGAAGGUGGGUCCGGUAAUUGGGGUGAAGUCGUAACAAGGUAGC
rnacentral:rRNA from 1 species